rnacentral:rRNA from 1 species
GACGAACGCUGGCGGCGUGCUUAACACAUGCAAGUCGAACGGAAAGGCCCUGCUUUUGUGGGGUGCUCGAGUGGCGAACGGGUGAGUAACACGUGAGUAACCUGCCCUUGACUUUGGGAUAACUUCAGGAAACUGGGGCUAAUACCGGAUAGGAGCUCCUGCUGCAUGGUGGGGGUUGGAAAGUUUCGGCGGUUGGGGAUGGACUCGCGGCUUAUCAGCUUGUUGGUGGGGUAGUGGCUUACCAAGGCUUUGACGGGUAGCCGGCCUGAGAGGGUGACCGGCCACAUUGGGACUGAGAUACGGCCCAGACUCCUACGGGAGGCAGCAGUGGGGAAUAUUGCACAAUGGGCGGAAGCCUGAUGCAGCAACGCCGCGUGCGGGAUGACGGCCUUCGGGUUGUAAACCGCUUUCGCCUGUGACGAAGCGUGAGUGACGGUAAUGGGUAAAGAAGCACCGGCUAACUACGUGCCAGCAGCCGCGGUGAUACGUAGGGUGCGAGCGUUGUCCGGAUUUAUUGGGCGUAAAGGGCUCGUAGGUGGUUGAUCGCGUCGGAAGUGUAAUCUUGGGGCUUAACCCUGAGCGUGCUUUCGAUACGGGUUGACUUGAGGAAGGUAGGGGAGAAUGGAAUUCCUGGUGGAGCGGUGGAAUGCGCAGAUAUCAGGAGGAACACCAGUGGCGAAGGCGGUUCUCUGGGCCUUUCCUGACGCUGAGGAGCGAAAGCGUGGGGAGCGAACAGGCUUAGAUACCCUAGUAGUCCACGCUGUAAACGGUGGGUACUAGGUGUGGGGUCCAUUCCACGGGUUCCGUGCCGUAGCUAACGCUUUAAGUACCCCGCCUGGGGAGUACGGCCGCAAGGCUAAAACUCAAAGGAAUUGACGGGGCCCCGCACAAGCGGCGGAGCAUGCGGAUUAAUUCGAUGCAACGCGUAGAACCUUACCUGGGUUUGACAUGGAUCGGGAGCGCUCAGAGAUGGGUGUGCCUCUUUUGGGGUCGGUUCACAGGUGGUGCAUGGCUGUCGUCAGCUCGUGUCGUGAGAUGCUGGGUUAAGUCCCGCAACGAGCGCAACCCUUGUUCACUGUUGCCAGCACGUUAUGGUGGGGACUCAGUGGAGACCGCCGGGGUCAACUCGGAGGAAGGUGGGGAUGACGUCAAGUCAUCAUGCCCCUUAUGUCCAGGGCUUCACGCAUGCUACAAUGGCUGGUACAGAGAGUGGCGAGCCUGUGAGGGUGAGCGAAUCUCGGAAAGCCGGUCUCAGUUCGGAUUGGGGUCUGCAACUCGACCUCAUGAAGUCGGAGUCGCUAGUAAUCGCAGAUCAGCAACGCUGCGGUGAAUACGUUCCCGGG